GUUUUCUGCUGACCGUUUGAGGAAAUGAGGAAUUGUCCAGUGUGAGAAGGGCUGCUUAGCAGAGAUGGAUUUGCAUCGCCUGUUUGCUUUCACAUGUUCGUGUCUCUUGUGGAUAAUGUGCUGGAAUCAGUUCAGAGAAGGAGAACUGGGAAGUACGAAGAGGACUUUGCAUUUUAUUUUCCAGAUAAUAGUCCUUGGAUACAAAUCCUUUUAUCUUUAUUUGUCAACACAGAGUUUGCUUUAGUUUGGUGGUAUGAAUAAUUCAAAGGUUGCUCUUAGCAAUUGUUGUUGUUCAGUCGCCAAGUCGUUUCCGACUCUGCGAUUUCAUGGACUGUGGCAUGCCAGGCUUCCCUGUCCCUCAUGAUCUCUCAGUUUGCCCAAGUUCAUGUCCAUUGCAUGGGUAAUGCCAUCCAGUCAUCUUAUGCUCUGACACCCUCUUCUCCUUCUGCCCUCAAUCUUUCCCAGCAUCAGGGACUUUUCCAAUGAACUGGCUGUUCGCAUCAGAUGACCAAAAUACUGAAGCUUCAGCUUCAGUCCUUUCAACGAGUAUUCAGAGUUGAUUUCCCUUAAGAUUGACUGGCUCGAUCUCCUUGCUGUCCAAGGGACCCUCAAGAGCCUUCUCCAGCAACACAGUUUGAAGGCAUCAAUUCUUUGGUGCUCUGCCUUCUUUACUUUAUUACUCUUGGCAAUACUUGGAUCCUAAAAGUGCCUAUAUAUUUUUGGCAUGUAGAAAUCACAGCUUUUUAAAACUGGAAGUGAUUUUAAGAUCUUCAAAAUGAAAUUGCUUUAUUUUACAACUGUGGACACUGAGGCCUGUAAAUGUUACAUGACUUGCUUAAUGCUGGGGUAUGAAUGGCUGGGCCAUAACUAGAAACAAUGAAAUGGAUUUCUAGUUUACCACUAUUUCCAUUACCAUGCCUAUCCUACUUCAGAUAUAACCUAAGCUUUUAAAACAACAGUACUAAUGAUAAUAACUGUAUUUAUUAACAACUUUAAUCUGAAUUUAUUCUAUCAGAGCAAUUUAUUAUUUCCAAUGAGAAU
rnacentral:lncRNA from 1 species